AUAAUGGUAUGAUUUCCCAGAAUGGACCAUCAAAACGUUUCACUUUCAUUUUGCUUUACAUGAAAGGUGAUAGACUCAAGCUGUAGACCUAUACUGCUCUGUGACCCUGACUCAAGCUGUAGACCUAUACUGCUCUGUGACCCUGACUCAAGCUGUAGACCUAUACUGCUCUGUGACCCUGACUCAAGCUGUAGACCUAUACUGCUCUGUGACCCUGACUCAAGCUGUAGACCUAUACUGCUCUGUGACCCUGACUCAAGCUGUAGACCUAUACUGCUCUGUGACCCUGACUCAACACACAACCUGCUUGUCUGAAAGUGUCAACGAUUUCCAAAGGAAGAGAGACAUGUCUUAUGAUGAUGGACCGAGUAUGUUCCAAGACCAGCUGGCGGAGAAGGUCCGGCCCUUCAUAGACUUAAUAGACGACAUGAGAUCCAUAGGGAUAGAUAAGGAGCUGCCACUGCCAACCAUUGCUGUGGUGGGAGACCAGAGUUCAGGAAAGAGCUCUGUGCUUGAGACCCUAUCUGGGGUGGCGCUGCCCAGAGGGACUGGUAUUGUCACCAGGUGCCCACUGCUACUUAAACUCUGUAACGACAGGACAGUGAAAUGGGAUGCUGUCAUCUCAUACGGAGGGAAAAUCAUUGAAUUUGACGAACCUUCAGAAGUAGUUAGACAUGUUGAACAAGCUCAGAACACGUUAGCUGGAAAGGGAGUGGGGAUAUGUGAAGACCUGAUCACUCUAAAGAUCACAUCCUCCACGGUGUGUGACCUCAGUCUGAUUGACUUACCAGGGAUCACCAGGGUGGCAGUGAAAGGACAACCAGAAGACAUUGGAGUCCAAAUCAAUAAUCUCAUUUCGGAAUUCAUAAAGAAUAAGAUAACCAUUAUUUUGGCGGUGGUACCAUGUAAUGUUGACAUAGCAACAACAGAGGCUCUGAAAAUGGCACAACAAGUGGAUCCUGAAGGCACAAGAACUCUGGCCAUUCUGACAAAGCCAGACCUGAUAGACCCGGGAGCAGAGAAGAAUGUGUUGGAAAUUGUCCACAAUAGAGUCAUAUUUCUCAGUAUGGGCUAUGUCAUUGUGAAAUGUCGUGGUCAAAAGCAAAUUGAUGAAAACAUGUCAAUAACCCGUGCGAUUGAGGAGGAGUUGGAAUUCUUCCAAAAUCACGAGCACUUCAGAUCCCUCGUGCGUGAGGAGAAGGCAACCACCAAGUGCCUAGCCAAAAAGCUCACCAAUGCCCUGGUCAAACAGAUCAAGACAUAUCUGCCCCAGAUGUCAGAGAAGAUAAAGGAGCAGCUGGGGGAGGUAAAGAAUUCGUUGAGUAAAUUAGAGGGCGGGCCUCCCCUUGAACCUGAAGAGAAGAGGAAGUACCUCAUUCAGGUCAUAACAGAUUUCAAUGAGCAGAUUACCCAACUGUCCAAAGGGGAUAUUAUCGUUGAAGAGAAUCUGUUUGUUCUCAUGCGAAAGGAAUUUACACAGUGGAUGAAAUGUUUGGAAAAUGACAAAUCAAACUACCACAAAGUAGUGCAACAAGUGGUGGAUGAAUAUGAUCAGGAGCACAGGGGAAGUGAGCUGCCAGGAUUCAGUAACUACAGGGUAUUUCAACAUGUUGUUCAGAAACUAGUGGCUGAACUUAAGAGACCAGCUAUGUCGACACUACAGAAAAUCAGAGACAUGGUGCAAAAGCAAUUUGAUCAUUUGUCCAGCGAGAGCUUUAAGAAUUAUCCUUAUCUUCAUCUGGUCUCAAAGAAAAACAUUGAAACAAUCCAGGAAAAGCAGUCAAACAUUGUGAAGGAGAGGAUCGUGGAGCAGUUUGAGAUGGAGAUGCAGGUCUACACACAGGAUGAAAUCUUCAACAAAGUUAUGCUAGAGGCGAAAUCACAUAUUCUAGAGGAGGGGGAAAUAGCAGAAGACAAAGAGCAAGACACCAGGAGCAAGUACCCUGGGCUGCUCAAGGCAUACUAUGAGAUUGUGGUGCAAAGACUGGCUGACCAGGUGCCCAUGAUGAUCUGUUACUUCAUCCUGAAGCAGUCAGCCAAGAUUGUGUGCAGUGAAAUGCUGGAUCUGUUACACAGAGACGACACUGAUAACAUCCUACAGGAGGAUUCAGAGAUCGGACAGUAUCGUGCAAAGUUGCAGGCCCAAGCGGAUCGCCUCAUACUGGCCAAUGACAAAAUCAGCAGCCUCUGAGAAGGUGAUGUCUUGUCAGUUACAAAAUCAGCAGCCUCUGAGAAGGUGAUGUCUUGUCAGUUACAAAAUCAGCAGCCUCUGAGAAGGUGAUGUCUUGUCAGUUACAAAAUCAGCAGCCUCUGAGUAGGUGAUGUCUUGUCAGUUACAAAAUCAGCAGCCUCUGAGAAGGUGAUGUCUUGUCAGUUACAAAAUCAGCAGCCUCUGAGAAGGUGAUGUCUUUUCAGUUACAAAAUCAGCAGCCUCUGAGAAGGUGAUGUCUUGUCAGUUACAAAAUCAGCAGCCUCUGAGAAGGUGAUGUCUUGUCAGUUACAAAAUCAGCAGCCUCUGAGAAGGUGAUGUCUUGUCAGUUACAAAAUCAGCAUCCUCUGAGAAGGUGAUGUCUUGUCAGUUACAAAAUCAGCAGCCUCUGAGAAGGUGAUGUCUUGUCAGUUACAAAAUCAGCAUCCUCUGAGAAGGUGAUGUCUUGUCAGUUACAAAAUCAGCAGCCUCUGAGAAGGUGAUGUCUUGUCAGUUACAAAAUCAGCAGCCUCUGAGAAGGUGAUGUCUUGUCAGUUACAAAAUCAGCAGCCUCUGAGAAGGUGAUGUCUUGUCAGUUACAAAAUCAGCAGCCUCUGAGUAGGUGAUGUCUUGUCAGUUACAAAAUCAGCAGCCUCUGAGAAGGUGAUGUCUUGUCAGUUACAAAAUCAGCAUCCUCUGAGAAGGUGAUGUCUUGUCAGUUACAAAAUCAGCAGCCUCUGAGAAGGUGAUGUCUUGUCAGUUACAAAAUCAGCAUCCUCUGAGUAGGUGAUGUCUUGUCAGUUACAAAAUCAGCAUCCUCUGAGUAGGUGAUGUCUUGUCAUUUACAAAAUCAGCAGCCUCUGAGAAGGUGAUGUCUUGUCAGUUACAAAAUCAGCAGCCUCUGAGAAGGUGAUGUCUUGUCAGUUACAAAAUCAGCAUCCUCUGAGUAGGUGAUGUCUUGUCAGUUAAAAAAUCAGCAUCCUCUGAGAAGGUGAUGUCUUGUCAGUUACAAAAUCAGCAGCCUCUGAGAAGGUGAUAUCUUGUCAGUUACAAAAUCAGCAUCCUCUGAGUAGGUGAUGUCUUGUCAGUUACAAAAUCAGCAGCCUCUGAGAAGGUGAUGUCUUGUCAGUUACAAAAUCAGCAGCCUCUGAGAAGGUGAUGUCUUGUCAGUUACAAAAUCAGCAUCCUCUGAGUAGGUGAUGUCUUUUCAGUUACAAAAUCAGCAGCCUCUGAGUAGGUGAUGUCUUGUCAGUUACAAAAUCAGCAUCCUCUGAGUAGGUGAUGUCUUGUCAGUUACAAAAUCAGCAUCCUCUGAGAAGGUGAUGUCUUGUCAGUUACAAAAUCAGCAGCCUCUGAGAAGGUGAUGUCUUGUCAGUUACAAAAUCAGCAUCCUCUGAGUAGGUGAUGUCUUGUCAGUUACAAAAUCAGCAGCCUCUGAGAAGGUGAUGUCUUGUCAGUUACAAUAUCAGCAGCCUCUGAGAAGGUGAUGUCUUGUCAGUUACAAUAUCAGCAGCCUCUGAGAAGGUGAUGUCUUGUCAGUUACAAAAUCAGCAUCCUCUGAGUAGGUGAUGUCUUGUCAGUUACAAAAUCAGCAUCCUCUGAGAAGGUGAUGUCUUGUCAGUUACAAAAUCAGCAUCCUCUGAGAAGGUGAUGUCUUGUCAGUUACAAUAUCAGCAUCCUCUGAGAAGGUGAUGUCUUGUCAGUUACAAAAUCAGCAUCCUCUGAGAAGGUGAUGUCUUGUCAGUUACAAAAUCAGCAGCCUCUGAGAAGGUGAUGUCUUGUCAGUUACAAAAUCAGCAUCCUCUGAGAAGGUGAUGUCUUGUCAGUUACAAAAUCAGCAGCCUCUGAGAAGGUGAUGUCUUGUCAGUUACAAAAUCAGCAGCCUCUGAGAAGGUGAUGUCUUGUCAGUUACAAUAUCAGCAGCCUCUGAGAAGGUGAUGUCUUGUCAGUUACAAAAUCAGCAGCCUCUGAGUAGGUGAUGUCUUGUCAGUUACAAAAUCAGCAGCCUCUGAGAAGGGACCAAGCGGAUCGUCUUUGACUGGCCAAUGACAAGCGGAUCACCUUGGACUGGCCAAUGACAAGAUUAGUAGACUGUGGUUGACAAUUUGUCAUUGCAGAAAUUCUGAGAUGGUGCCAACAAAGCAAUAAUUAUACCUACAUUUUAUCAGCA